rnacentral:ncRNA from 1 species
GGUUCCGAGGGGGAUUGAAAACCCCUUCCGAGGAGUUUAAGGGGCAAAAAGCUUGCCUUAAGUUAUAAUGUAAAUUAAUUAUACCGGAAACCAGGGGCCUAGAGGUUCCUCUAUGAAACUUAAGCAUAGAGGUGACGGAAAAGUUACCCCAGGGAUAACUGGCUUGUGGCGGCCGAGCGUCCAUAGCGACGCCGCUUUUUGAUUUUUCGAUGUCGGCUCUUCCGAGCAUGGUGGAGUAUCAGCCAACCAAGUGUGUGAUUGUUCACCAACUAACAGGGAACGUGAGCUGGGUUUAGACCGUCGCGAGACAGGUUAGUUUUACCCUACUGCAUCGCGUCCGAGAGUAGGUCGGGGCAGUACGAGAGGAAGUGCCGAUCAGAACCGCUGGUGAUACUUUCGUCUGUUAAGGCGCGAAGUGUAGCUACGUUCUUCUUAUAAUAGCUGAAAGCCUCUAAGCUAGAAUGAGUACUUAAGGACGCAAAGAUAUGAAGACUACAUAUGUAAGGAUGAGGGUUGUACGAUAUAAGCUUCUGCGAGUAUUUCAGACCACUUAUUUCCUUUUUUAGAACAUGCUUGCUC